GUUUCAGCCGCCGCGGUAAUACGUAGGGGGCAAGCGUUGUCCGGAUUUAUUGGGCGUAAAGAGCGUGUAGGCGGCCAUGCAGGUCCGCUGUGAAAACUGGAGGCUUAACCUCCAGCGGUCGGUGGAAACCGCAUGGCUAGAGUCCGGAAGAGGAGAGUGGAAUUCCCGGUGUAGCGGUGAAAUGCGCAGAUAUCGGGAAGAACACCCGUGGCGAAGGCGGCUCUCUGGGACGGUACUGACGCUGAGACGCGAAAGCGUGGGGAGCGAACAGGAUUAGAAACCCUUGUAGUCC
rnacentral:rRNA from 1 species